rnacentral:rRNA from 1 species
UUUUAGUUUGAUUCUGGCUCAGGAUGAACGCUGGCGGCGUGCCUAAUACAUGCAAGUCGAGCGAAUGGAUUAAGAGCUUGCUCUUAUGAAGUUAGCGGCGGACGGGUGAGUAACACGUGGGUAACCUGCCCAUAAGACUGGGAUAACUCCGGGAAACCGGGGCUAAUACCGGAUAACAUUUUGAACCGCAUGGUUCGAAAUUGAAAGGCGGCUUCGGCUGUCACUUAUGGAUGGACCCGCGUCGCAUUAGCUAGUUGGUGAGGUAACGGCUCACCAAGGCAACGAUGCGUAGCCGACCUGAGAGGGUGAUCGGCCACACUGGGACUGAGACACGGCCCAGACUCCUACGGGAGGCAGCAGUAGGGAAUCUUCCGCAAUGGACGAAAGUCUGACGGAGCAACGCCGCGUGAGUGAUGAAGGCUUUCGGGUCGUAAAACUCUGUUGUUAGGGAAGAACAAGUGCUAGUUGAAUAAGCUGGCACCUUGACGGUACCUAACCAGAAAGCCACGGCUAACUACGUGCCAGCAGCCGCGGUAAUACGUAGGUGGCAAGCGUUAUCCGGAAUUAUUGGGCGUAAAGCGCGCGCAGGUGGUUUCUUAAGUCUGAUGUGAAAGCCCACGGCUCAACCGUGGAGGGUCAUUGGAAACUGGGAGACUUGAGUGCAGAAGAGGAAAGUGGAAUUCCAUGUGUAGCGGUGAAAUGCGUAGAGAUAUGGAGGAACACCAGUGGCGAAGGCGACUUUCUGGUCUGUAACUGACACUGAGGCGCGAAAGCGUGGGGAGCAAACAGGAUUAGAUAUCC